UUACAAACCCUUGUGUGGAGAUCUGACUUUCAAUAGAUCGCAGCGAGGGAGCUGCUCUGCUACGUACGAAACCCCGACCCAGAAGCAAGUCGUCUACGAAUGGUUUAGCGCCAGGUUCCCCACGAACGCGCCGCGGGGCUGCCGUAUCGUUCCGCCUGGGCGGGAUUCUGACUUAAGAGGCGUUCAGUCAUAAUCCCACAGAUGGUAGCUUCGCCCCAUUGGCUCCUCAGCCAA
rnacentral:lncRNA from 1 species